UUGCGCUGUCAAGUGAACCCUGUGUCCAUUCCGUGGCAUGAGGGACCACUUAAGGUGCUAGAUCAAAUCCCUUCUUGGAGAUAGGCCAGGCUUUCUUGUAACCUGUCCCUACUGAUAGUUGGGUACAAGC